rnacentral:rRNA from 1 species
GACCUGGCGCUUUAGGAUGAGCCUACGUCGGAUUAGCUAGUUGGURGAGUAAAAGCCUACCAAGGCAACGAUCCGUAGCUGGUCUGAGAGGAUGAUCAGCCACACUGGGACUGAGACACGGCCCAGACUCCUACGGGAGGCAGCAGUGGGGAAUAUUGGACAAUGGGCGAAAGCCUGAUCCAGCAAUGCCGCGUGUGUGAAGAAGGCCUUCGGGUUGUAAAGCACUUUUAGUGAAGAGGAAAGGCUCACGGUUAAUACCCCUGAGAGUUGACGUUACUCACAGAAAAAGCACCGGCUAACUCUGUGCCAGCAGCCGCGGUAAUACAGAGGGUGCGAGCGUUAAUCGGAAUUACUGGGCGUAAAGCGCGCGUAGGCGGAUACUUAAGACAAAUGUGAAAUCGGGAACUGCAGUC